rnacentral:snRNA from 1 species
AGAUGUGAGAGCAAUUUGGCUACAAAGUCUAUCUCUCCAUUGAUCACCAGGGUUGAUUUGGCUGAUAUGGCUAGCAAAGCAGGUUUCCCCUUUCUUUCUCACUGUUCCAUGUGCAUCCCUCCCAAAGCUACCCACUGAGUCAAAGGGGAUGACCUUCCCCGAAUACAGAUGUAGCAUUCUUUGGUCAAGGGUAUAUGAGUAACUGUGCUCCCCUUCUGGAAUCACCAAAUAAGCUCUAAAAGUGACAACAUCGCUUGCUGUGCAGAAGCUUUUCAGUUUGAUGUAGUCAUACUGGUUUAUUUAUUUAUUUAUUUAUUUAUUUAUUUAUU